CCUUUGUACACACCGCCCGUCGCUACUACCGAUUGAAUGGCUUAGUGAGGUCUUCGGAUCGGCGUUCGGGACCCGGCAACGGCAUCCUAUUGCUGAGAAGCUGAUCAAACUUGGUCAUUUAGAGG
rnacentral:rRNA from 1 species